AUGGGGGCACCAGAGGCAAAGGCCGCAGGUGCUGCUGCGAGACUGUGGUCAGGAACCCACCCUGGCCAGGUUCUGCAGAGGCAGUCGGAGGACACAGUGAUCUGGGGGCUGGGGAGCAGGCCCGGGGAGCAGCGAGGAUGGCCGCUGGGUGGCAUGGGUGUCCCUCACCACUGCACACCGUGGGGCCCUGGGUGUCCACAACCACUGCACACACCGUGGCAUCCUGCGUGUCCCUCACCACUGUGCAUACUGUGGGGCCCUGGGUGUCCACAACCACUGCGCACACCGUGGGGCCCUGGGUGUCCCUCACCACUAUGCACACCGUGGGGUCCUGCGUGUCCCUCACCACUGCGCACACUGUGGGGUCCUGCGUGUCCCUCACCACUGUGCACACCGUGGGACCCUGGGUGUCCCUCACCACUGCACACCAUGGGGCCCUGGGUGUCCACAACCACUGCGCACACCGUGGGGCCCUUGGGUGUCCCUCACCACUGCGCACACCGUGGGGUCCUGCGUGUCCCUCACCACUGUGCACACCGUGGGACCCUGGGUGUUCCUCACCACUGCGCACACCGUGGGGCCCUUGGUGACCACAACCACUGCGCACACUGUGGGGCCCUUGGGUGUCCCUCACCACUGCGCACACUGUGGGGUCCUGCGUGUCCCUCACCACUGUCACACCAUGGCGCCCUGGUGUCCGUCACCUAUCUGGCUUCUCUGGAAAUGGGGCCAGACUGCCCACGCUCCUCCCUGAGCCCUCUCCCCUGCCUCGCCCUUAUCCUCCAUGCCCUGGCAGUCUGCUGCCUUUGCUCUGUCCGACCUUGGAGUGUCCUUGGCCUGGGAGGUCUUCCUUUGGGCUCCUCUCAUUCCUUCUUUCCUUUCCUUGGCUUUACAGUCCAACUGCCUGUCAGACUCUGCUGGCUCCCGGGAUCCAGGAUGUUUCAGUCUCCUGCACCUGGUCCAUGCCUCAGGUCCUGUCCUGGGGGCUCAGGGAGGAGUGUGGGCAGUCUGGCCCCAUUUCCAGAGAAGCCAGAUAGGUGA
rnacentral:lncRNA from 1 species